UACGGAGGGGGCUAGCGUUGUUCGGAAUUACGGGGCGUAAAGCGUACGUAGGCGGCUUUGUAAGUUAGAGGUGAAAGCCUGAUGCUCAACAUCAGAAUUGCCUUUAAGACUGCAUCGCUUGAAUCGUGGAGAGGUAAGUGGAAUUCCGAGUGUAGAGGUGAAAUUCGUAGAUAUUCGCAAGAACACCAGUGGCGAAGGCGGCUCACUGGCCCGGUACUGACGCUGAGGUGCGAAAGCGUGGGGAGCAAACAGG
rnacentral:rRNA from 1 species